rnacentral:lncRNA from 13 species
GUAAAAUAAAAUAAUUUAAAAAUGUAUUUUAGUAAUUAUUAUUUCACAUUGAAAGCUUUUGAUUUUGUCAAAAAGGAUAAGUGGCCUGGCCUUCCAAUCCUAACAUAAGCUGACAUUUCAUUGCAAUACUCCAAAUAAGACUUCAGAAUAUGUCAUUGGUGAGAAGUGUGGGAUGACUUCAUGCUAGUUAAAAGAAACCUAAGGAUCGUGCCUUUUUAUUAGUGAAAAAGGCAACAGCUGGUAUUGUGACACUAACGAAAGUCUCAAGACAGAUAUUCAGGUAAAGAAAAAGUAAAAUGACUCAUAGACUCCCUCUCUGAUCACACACUAUGAAACUAAGGGAAAAAAUUACAAAAUAAAUCAAUCCGCCACAACCAAAAAAGAGAAUUUAAUGCCAUAAAAUGCAAAAGACAGUGACCCACAAAGGAGCCUGGCUCCAGUCCUAUGCCCCAGAGGGUGCUGAAACGCCCAAGAAUGUUCCCUGAUACUCCCAAAUCAGACAAGAAAUGCAAGGAGAGUGAUAUCCUCUUUGCCUCUUUUGACUUCAAGGAAGUAUACAGAAAUGGCCUAGGUGGGGAAAAGUGAAAAGAGAAGAGAAAAGUUAAACUGAGCCCCUUGUGCAGAAGCACAGGCUACUAGACUACAUGCUAAAUUGAGGGAACCAUUUACAAGAUACUACCCUGUGCUUCAUUAAGUGGAGCAAUCCCAGGUUUAGGACAGAAAACUAAAUGUAAGCAAGAGGAACAGAAAUCAGUUUCUGUAAGAAUGAUUGCAUCCAACCCUAGCUGACUGUUCUCUCGCCCUACUCCAUCCACAGGCUACAGAGAGGGGAACAGAAAACCAAGCCUUCUAGCUGCAGCUGGAGGAUGAGGCUAAGUCUCAGAAAAUGGUGGAAGGAGGGCCCAAGAGAAUUCAUUCAGAAGACCAGAGGAGGAGGUCACUUAUGAUACCAUCUUGGAGUCUCUUUGAAGAUACCAAGUCCACUGGGCAGAAUGCAAGCAAAAUCAAGUUUUGGAAGAGCCAAAAAUUAAGAUUUGGAAGUCCUCAAAGCCAACCCUUCACAUUAUCUGAGCAUCCUCCCCUUUCCAUACUUACUUCGAAGGCUG